GAAACAAAUCCUUACUUACUAAGUAUAGAAAAACCUAUUAAAGAAAUAUGUGCAAAGUCCUUUCAUACUAAAAUUAGUGUUAUUUUGACUGCAAAGCCCCCAUUGAGAAUAAACGUAUCCAAUUAAAGCAGACUGCCGCCAAACUAGUUCAACUUGUUGGGUUCGCUUUUCGCUGGCGUAAUAACAGAGGCCCAAAUCACACAGUCCCAAUGAACGGACCUCUCUGCACGGUAAUCAAAAUACUUGUGGCAAUAAAAACAACACAAACUGAUAUCAAAGACUGAACGGGGACGAAAGCCAAGGAGAAACCAUAACAAAUCAAAGCACUAAUGAAUAUUGAGAGGCCACUAAAAGGAACACGCGGCAGGAGCAACAAAUUAAUAUCGAAGAAAUACCAAAAUUCACAUAAUAAUAAAUGCAGCUCGACGAGGAGCAGGGCUAAUAAAGGGCCGGCAGGAGUGGGUAGGAGUGCGGAGCAACUUUUCCACCAGGAUAAUGAAGUGCCUGUGGGCGGGGAACGAAGAGAACACCUGCCUAACAACCGCAGGAUCGGAAUGGGAAUGAAAAUGGGAAUGCGAGCGAGACGGCAACUCCAUUGCGAGCCGAAUGAAGGUAAUAAAAAUCGUAUAAAUAACCAAAGCUAAAGACAACAGCGGCAGAAGGACUUACAGAACGCUUGAAUUAUUGUACGCAAUGCGGGGUGGGUAAACUCCCAGGCAAGUGGAGGGGGCGGCUCGUUAAUUUGCAAUAAAAUCCGAUUAUAACCACAAAAA